rnacentral:rRNA from 1 species
GUAACCUACCUAUAACAGGGGCAUAACACUGAAAAAUUGGUACUAAUUCCCCAUAAUAUUCGGAGAGGCAUCUCUCCGGGUUGAAAACUCCGGAGGUUAUAGAUGGACAUGCGUUGUAUUGGCUAGUUGGUGAGGUAACGGCUCACCAAGGCAACCAUACAUAGGGGGACUGAAAGGUUAACCC